ACAUUGAAACACUGGUUCCUGUAUGAUCAUUAAAGUUAAUCAAUGUCAAGCCUGUUUAGUACCUAGAUAGGUGACCACUUGGGAAUACUAGGUGUUGUAAG